GUAGCUCUGUGGUAGAGCACUUGCCUAGCACGCACGAGGCCCUGGGUUCAAUCCCAGC
rnacentral:tRNA from 1 species